AGGGCAGAAGACUUUUGUCUUCAACCACAAAGCCAAUGUCCCAAGGGCAAGAAAGCCUGCCCAGCCAAUACUGAAAUUGAUCUGGGAUAACGCUGGACUCCAGAAAGCCACUGUCAACAAUGGAAGAAUUUCUAGAAACUUCCUAGGGACUCCCAUCUUUGGUGAGUGCUUACAAAUCUUGAUAAUAAAAAACCGGGCAAGACGUGACUUGGCUGAGCAGUUGCUGGCACUGAGUGAUGACCAUACAGGAUCUGAUAGUACAGAAGUCUCUCUACUAUUGUAUGUCUAUUUGAAGUGUUCUCUCCGAGGAGGAGGACAAUGAACACAACAUGAUUUUAGUGGAGAGACAACAGAAUAUGCUGCACCUGCAAUGCUAACACUCGGAAGGCAGAAGCAGAAGGCCCCUAAGUUUGAGGAUUCAUAACCUGGGAUACCCCAAGACCAACAGACCCAACAGAAAUAAAAGGCAUUGGUUUGGAA